CGGUUCACCAUUUCUCAGAACCGGGCCCGUCCAGGGUACGACGGGCCGGUUCACGGGUCCGGGCCGGUUCACUCGGUCAACGGGCCGGUUCCGGGCCCAAAACCGGCCCGUGGCCGUGUCUACAAUGCGGCCGCCGCCUUCCCAUCAUCUUUAUCUUUGUUUCUUUCUCAAGAAAUUCAGCACCCAUCCCUCUCUUUUACUCACAAUUAAUUGUUUCUUCUAUUUUUUUUCUUCUUCCCUCUCUCUUAUCUCUCCUUUUCUAAUUUUUUUUCUUCUUUUCCACCUUUUUUCUUCAUCCCAUAUUCAGCCACACAUCUGUUCGGCAAUCCACGAUCAAACCCGUCGGAUUCCGGCAAUCGACGGCCAGAUCCGUCAAAUUUCGACAACCCACGGCCUACUCCACCCAGAUUCGGCCACCCCGGUCAUUGACCGGGUUUUUGACAUUUGACCCCCACGCCCCCCCUACUAGCAUCGGUGGUUGCUACCAUCAAUUGCAACAACGGCAUCAGUGAUUUUAGUUCAAAUUUGAGGGCUCAAUGCAGCGGCGGUCUGAUCGAAACCAGCUUUCUGCAUCAACAAAGCUCGAGCACGUAAAUGAGAAGGAUAUUGAUCUCCAACAUAGUUAUAGAAGAAAUAGCUUUUUUAACUUGUAUCGAAUUGAUAAAUUAGGUGGCUUCCUUCAAUUUUAAUGCAAACAGGUAUAAAAAAACUAAAAUAGCUUUGAAUAGCGAAUAGCGAAACUUACUGAAUCGACAACCAGUGAUGGAAUUGUGACCGAAAGAUAAUUAAAUAUUUGUAACAGAUUUGUGAUGGGAUACUUGUGAUGGAAUUUUGUGACGGAGGUUUGAAUGAAUUAUUUGUGAUCGAUGU